rnacentral:rRNA from 1 species
CCUACGGGUGGCAGCAGUGAGGAAUAUUGGUCAAUGGGCGCGAGCCUGAACCAGCCAAGCCGCGUGAAGGAUGACUGCCCUAGGGGUUUUAAACUCCUUUUAUAAGGGAAUAUAGUGUGCCAUGUGUGCCUUUUUGGAUGUACGUUACGAAUAACGAUCGGCUAACUCCGUGCCAGCAGCGGCGGUAAUACGGAGGUUCAGAGCGUUAUCCGGAUUUAUUGGGUUUAAGGGGAGCGUAGGUGGGUUGUUAAGUCAGUUGUGAAAGUUUGCGGCUCAACCGUAAAAUUGCAAUUGAUACUGGCAGUCUUGAGUACAGUAGAGGUAGGUGGAAUUCGUGGUGUAGCGGUGAAAUGCGUAGAUAUCACGAAGAACACCGAUUGCGAAGGCAGCUUACUGAACUGCCACUGACACUGAGGCUCGAAAGUGUGGGUAUCAAACAGGAUUAGAUACCCGUGUAGUC